AAAAUUUUGGAGUUUAGAAGAAAAAAAUAACCAAACUAUAUACAUAUAUAUACCUCUGCUUGAUUAUUUAAAGAAGGAAGAAAGAAAAAGAUAACAGACUUGAGAAAGAGAAGAGGAAGGGACUCACGGUUGAUGCUCAAUGGUACUCCAUUUCUCUACUUCAAGGUUCCAAAGUUCGCCAAAUGAGGUAUUAACUUCUGUCGAUGUAUCCUUGAAGAAUAUUAUGUACAGGGCUUUCAAAUCUUUAUAUGUCAUGGAAGAUUUGAGAUCCUGUUUAUAACAAGAAAAAAUGGCUUGUUUCCCAUUAUUUCAAAUGAUGGGUUCUUGAUUACUCUACGAAAUUUGAGGGUUCAUGUUGUAAAAAAAAAAAACUGAAUGUUUGGAGAGAUAUAGAGGAGUGUCUUAUUCAUUGUUUAAUCCUUGCUAUAGUUCAAUUUCUUUUCCUUUAUUGGGGGUAUAUAAUUGUUGUACGACUCAGCAGAGGUUGUUACCUAACACUAGGAUUAGGUCACUGAAAAAUGAGAAAAGGAAUACCAUGCAUAACCCAUUUGACAAACAGAGUAAGUAGUGGUUUAGGAAAGAGAUUUUCAUUUAAUUAUAAGAUUGUGCCCAAGGCUGCGGUUAUUGUCAAAAAGAUUGAAAAGGGUUUCAACUAAAUUUAUGUUAAAUGACCUUGGCAAAAUUUGUUUGCGCAAGAAUUUGAGAAAAGAGUCUCUUUCCACUUCGGUUUCUAUUGUAUUGGGGAUGUGCUUUUUGUUUCUAAAUUAACGACAAUACUUUUUUCAAAAGUUAUUUCAUAUUCGGACUUGAUAAUGUGCCUGCAGAAUGGGUCUAUCAUGAGUUGAAGUAACAGUUGCCUCUAAUUUGAGAUCUUUGUGGUGGAAAAAAAAUAUAUAAUUCUUUAUAUGCAGACUAGGAAUAUUAUUGAGCCGACAUAAAGUAGUUAUCUGUGGGAAAACAAUUCACCAUCGUUGUCUCGUGACAUCUCCUACUAAGCUUCAAAUAUUGAUGUCAUUUUUGUCCUUAUCUGACUAUAUUAAGUUAAAUGUCAGAAACUUAUGUAAAAAUAAAAUUGUGGACAUAAAGUAUGUGUGAUGAUGAUCCAAGAUUGGACAAUGAAUUAAAGAUUUGAAAGCUAUAUUAAUAUCUUAUAUGAAACAAAUAAGAAUGUGUUUAAAUACAUUAGUUAACCUAUACAUCAAAGCAUAGGGUGAUGUAAAGAUUACUAAGUUAACUUAAAAGAAUGUUAAUAUUUCGAAUAAAAUCGAUGAAUGUGUUAUAAUUUGAUGGUGUAUAUAUAGGGUAUACAAUGAAGAAUAAUGUAUGAGGAAUAUUGAUCGAUGAAAGAGGUUACACAAUGAACUGUCGAUGAACGAGGCAAGUUUUUCAGUUCCUUUGUGUUCUCUGUGAACUUAAUAUUAUAUAAGAUUUUUACAAGUAUGCUAAAAUAUACUUUUUAUAUGCUUGUUGAAUUGUGAAAGUCAAUUUAUGACUGAAAUUGCUUGAGUUUUGAAAACUCAGUCUUGAUGUGAUGUGAUAUGUGGUAUGCUAAACAUCUGAAUUAUAUUGUUUAAAAUUAUGAUAAUCAUGAGAUAUGAACUGAGCAUGAAAUUAUGUGUUAUGUAAAGCAUGAAAGCUGUUAAAUUUGCUGAACUGUCGAGCUCAAUCUUGUAAAAAUAAAUUUUUGGCAGGUUAAGGAUGCAAUGCAAUAUUUCUUACCAUUCUGAAUGAUAAAGAUUAGAAGACAUGCGAAGGAUUACAUUUUCAUAAAUUAGAAGUUGUAUAAAAGUACGUUGAUAGUUUUAAUAUGUGUAGCUGGCAAUUAUGUACAAUUUGAAAUGUUCAAUGAAU
rnacentral:lncRNA from 1 species